UUUUCGCGAAACUUUUGUGUUAUUUGUAACUUCAAAUUCAAAACCCAUUACAAAACUUCUAAACAGUCAGUUCAUCCAGCAUUACAGUUCAGCAUUACAGAACUUCUAAAACAACAUUACAGUAGCAUUACAAACUACAAAUCGUAACCCAACUAUAGUUUAGCAUUACAGCAUUAGCCAUUGCAGCAUUAUAGCAUUAGCCAUUGCAGCAUUACAGUUCUUGCCACAAGUAGACAAAAGAUCCAUAAGUCGACAAAAGAUCCAUAAUUAGACAAAAGAUCUACAAUAUCCAAUAAUUCUAGAACUUGAAACAACAUUACAGUUCUUGCCAAUAAUUCUCCAACUCUGCACCAAAUAGUGAAAUACACCACCAACAUAUUAGAAAGACACUCUUCAUCCAACUCUGACCAACAAGCAUCCAACUCUACCUGACAACAAUUUCAUUGAAGUAUAUUCUUCAGAUAAGCAAAUAUAGAUGAACACACUCUACAUAAUCUCUUAUUCAACAACGAGACAAAUAACAGUUUCAUAGAAGUACUAACUAACUAGCAGUAAGAGAACCUUAAGAGGUAAUGGUAUUACAAGGGCAGUACCUGAUUUACAUGGUUCUUCAUUCUUGUUCAGACUCAACAUAUUCGUCUUCACCCUCUUCAUCUUCACCAUUUUCACCUUCAUCGUUUUCAUCUUCAUCAAUAGAUCCCACAAUCACACUAGCACUCAUAGAUGUUACCUUCACCUUCACCUUCGUUCACACACAUUCGGUGGAAGGAUGCAUAUAGUACUUGGAAGUACAUAAAAUUAGUCACGGUUAAUAUCAAACAAUCAUUAUACAAACAGUGAAAAGAAUAAUGUAUACCAUUCUCAAACUCUAUUUGCUCUUCCAAGUCUUCUUCGACCAUCACCAGCUUCGAAUCAUCAGACUUAAUGCCUCGAAAAUAUUUGGAGUAAGCGAGGUCUGAAAUGAAUCUAAAAUACGGCCAACAACGAAUCGAAACUGGUCUUAGUAGAGCUGUAUUCGAAGAAUCAGCAGCCGCACCUGUACAAAUCGAUGAUGCCCACUGUUACGCAGAGAAAUAAGAAACAAUCAAAACCUCAUAAUAGAACCCGUAGUGGGUUGGAGAUGUAUUCUCACCUGUCACCAAAUUCCAGAAUGAUGAGGGAAUCGUGGGGAAUUACCGUCGAGAACCCGGUCGCUGUCGAGGGAAACGUCGGGAAUCGCCGUAGCAGAAGAAGAAGAAGAAGUUGAGCGCCGUUGUCGUUGUUUUCUAAACUCUGGAAUCGUCGUUGUAACUCUGGAAUCGCCGAGAAGUUGAGGGAAUCGCCGUUGCCCAUUGGAAGAGGUAGUGAGGAACCCUAAUUGCCGUCGCCCAUCGGAAGAAGAAGUGAGGAACUCUGGAAUCGCCGAUUCACCAUCGCCGUCGAAUCGUUGUUGUCUAAACUUUUGUCAAAAAAACGCAUUAAGUGACCCUCACCUCAUUGAAAGGAAUACUGAUAAGUGAUGAGUCAUAAAUGAUAAAUGGUAAUUAACUUUGGGAUUUUGGAAAUCCCGGAAAACCGAACCCGAAAUAUUACUUCCCGAACCAAACCCGAUGUCCCCAUUCCUCUUGAUCCUGUUGGCCAACGAUCUAAAAAACACCAUCAAUUCUCAAGAAAUCCGAAUAAAGCUCAAUGGAAUCUCCAUUUCUAGGAGGGGCCCUCAUAUCACUCAUUGGCUGUUUGCAGAUGAUACAUCAUCUUUGGGAACGCAUCGGUUGAAGAAGCGUUGACAAUUCAGGGCAUCAUUACCAGCAACUGCGAUAUGUCAAGCAAAGAGCGUAACCAUGAGAAGUCUUCACUCUUCUUUAGUGCUAACACCCCAUCCAGCAUAAGAUAUAACAUCUCUUAUACGCUUGGGAUCCCCCUCACUCAGCAAAAGUCUUCCUACCUAGGGAUUCCAACAGAUUGGGAAGAUCCAAAAAGGAAGCCUUCAACUAUCUCAUUGAUAGACU
rnacentral:lncRNA from 1 species